GCCAGCGUGGCAUAGUGGUUUGGAUGAUGGACUGUGACUCUGGAGGCCAGGAUUCGAAUCCCCACUCAGCCA